ensembl:snoRNA
GCCCAGUGAUGAUACCAAGGCGAAUGUGAGCUCACUGGAUGAGAGUUCAAGCUCUUCUGUGUUCUAAUUGGCUGGUAAUCUUGACAGGGCAGUGGAGAUUGACUGUUCUGUUGUAAGGGCCUGCCUACAGUCACAAAGCUCCUCUCCUCAUACUCUCCAUUAGAGAAGUGUAGGAGAAAGGGUGAGGGGUGCUGACAGUGUGUGUGUGUGUGUGUGUGGACACAGAUAGAUUCUUGGCUCUCUUUGGUAUCCAGUCAGCUGUGAACUUUGUCUUUGGUAAUCUGAGGGUU